rnacentral:sRNA from 1 species
CCUCAACAUGUAAUUUCAAACACCAUGGAACCAUGUGAUUUAACUACCGCUGAAAUCUCUUCCUCCACACGACCGAAAUUCCUCCCGCUCCAAACUUCAGUGCAGCUGCACGUGUCUUUUCUUAUGAAUGUACUCCCGAGAACCUUUUCCAGGUCUGAUAUUCUCGCGGUUAUCUUCCUGCUCAUGGAGUCAAGGUUGAAGAACGCCAGGUAUAUUUCUCCUAUAUAAUGGACCACAGACAUUAGCCCUCAGAAAUACCUCCUUUAUUGUUGGAUUCCACCGUGGCACAUAAUCUUGAGUAACUGCUAAUGAGGUUUCCUUUCUCAUUCAGCUCCCACAUCUAAACAUGCCACCUGCACCUUGAAAACAUGGGAAACUUGCUAUCUGAGGAUGUCCUCCGUUGACUGCCAGAUGCAUCCAGACAAGCAUCGUCACUGUCCAUAUUUGCCAGGUGAAACUUUGUUUGUUACUCCAAAUUUAUAAAUUGGGUGGUGCUUACGAUGUCAGGAGAGGAAUUGUUUUGCCCAGGCAAAAUGAGAUAUUUUUGUCAUCCUGCAUCCCAUAGUUCCUGCAUAUAUGAUCUGAUUUACCAUGUUGUGAAAACAUAUACCAUCCAUUUGCUUUGUCAUCACUGCAGGCAGUGAGACCAAGAGAUACACCAUCAAUCUUUGGUACGUGUACAAGAUCUUCGGAUAUGAAACGACUAGAAUGCUUGUCUUCUUUGGAAGUCCUUUCACUUACGAAUAAAAUACAGGGUACCUCCAUAUUAUUUAUGCUGUAGUGAUUUAUUUUCAGUAAUGUAGGAUUUGUUAUUAUGCUUAACGUGUCAUUGUCGAGAUGCCUCAAAUCUCCUCCAUACAUUAGAGGAGACUUAGCCAUUGACCAAAUGCAAACCUGUGUUCUCUGUUCAUCAGAUGUAAGUUCACAUUGCCUAUAAAAACUGCAAAUAAUUACCUGCAUUUGUAAGCCAGCCAAAUGGGAGCAUGUCUAAAUCUGGCCAAGAUCUUCCUCGUAAUCCUAUGGCCCCAAUUUUAUUUGCAGCAGCAAAGGAACUACACGUCAAAAUGUGAACUAACAUCCUUCCAGUUGUCCCAAUCAUCCCCUGUUAUCCUGUACAUGUUAACAUGUUGACUGAUGUUUUUGGCUAAUGCUGGAGUCACUUCGGUUCCUGGUGAGAUGGACAGGAUGAUGGGGCGGUCAAGCUCUGCCAAGAGCUGCAAUUUAGAAAUUAGCUUAUUCGAAUAUUGUAAUAACUAAACUGAAGAAUUAUGCUAUAAGAAUACCAAAAUCAACACCCCAAUCAGCGUACUGUUGAUAAAGAGAUCUUAGGAAGGCCUUUCCAGCUCCAAUAUCAGUAUUUACACUCAUAAAUCCAUGUGGCAUCCAUGCACAUGUUCUAUGUGUAAGACCUAUAUCACGAGCUGUCCAUUGCCGGCCAUCCUCUACGUAGGGAAAACAUUACCGUUUUAAUGUCCAAUAUGGGUGUGUUUCCAUUCACAGCCUGUAAACUUAUCCCUUUCAUUAAAUGGAUUCCGAAUUUCAAGCCCAUUCCAUGCACCUUGUUCGCAAGUUGACUGAACCCUUUAUCAAUUCUGGAUGAUGGAAAUCUUUGAAGAUCAGGAAAUGGCCGACCCCACUCAUCAAUGUUAUCAAAUCCAUAUGAAUCUGUGUAUGCCCCAUGAACAUACUUUCGGUACCAGAGGUAAUCAAUAACUGCAUACCUCAUAUCCAUGUGGGAGCAAUUUUUCUGCCAAGAUCUCCGCAUUUUGCAUGUAUGUAUUUUCAUCAACUAUCCAUGAAAAGGAAUCAUAGGAAUUCCAGCCUCUUGGUGGAAACUCAGCAAGUUGUUCAUUAGCCUCGGAAGUGCCCCUGAAAUGAGGGCGCAGAGGAGGGCGUAGCGGAGGAGGCGGCGCCAUGGCGGCGGAUGGGAGGAUGGGGCUCCCCUUCCCAUCCCGUCGGGCCGAGGCGUGGCGACUGGGGAGUGGUGAGUGAAG